CCUACGGGAGACAGCAGUGGGGAAUAUUGCACAAUGGGCGAAACCCUGAUGCAGCGACGCCGCGUGAGUGAAGACGGAUCUCUGUAUGUUAAGCUCUAUCAGCAGGGAAGAAAAUGACGGUACCUGAUUAAGAAGCCCCGGCUAACUACGUGCCAGCAGCCGAGGUAAUACGUAGGGGGCAAGCGUUAUCCGGAUUUACUGGGUGUAAAGGGAGCGUAGACGGCAGCACAAGUCUGGAGUGAAAUGCCCGGGCUUAACCCCGGAACUGCCUUUGAAACUGUGCAGCUAGAGUGCAGGUGAGGUAAGUGGAAUGCCUAGUGUAGCGGUGAAAUGCGUAGAGAUCA
rnacentral:rRNA from 1 species